rnacentral:rRNA from 1 species
GUGGCAGGGGCGGCGGUAAUACGGAGGGUGCAAGCGUUGCCCGGAUUUAUUGGGCGUAAAGGGUCCGCAGGCGUCUUGGUAAGUUAUUUUUCAAAUACUGGAGCUCAACUCCAGCCAGGGAAGUAAUACUGCCAGGAUAGAGAUAUUUAGGGGCUACUGGAACUAUCGGUGUAGGGGUGAAAUCCGUUGAUAUCGAUAGGAACUCCAAGGGCGAAGGCAAGUAGCUGGGAAUUAUCUGACGCUCAGGGACGAAAGCUAGGGUAGCGAAAGGGAUUAGAGACCCCUGUAGUCCUAGCCGUAAACGAUGCUCGCUAGCUCAUGGAUUAUUUCAUGGGCGUAAGCUAACGCGUGAAGCGAGCCGCCUGGGGAGUACGGCCGCAAGGCUAAAACUCAAAGGAAUUGACGGGGACCUGCACAACCAGUGGAGCAUGUGGUUUAAUUCGAGACGAACCGAAGAACCUUACCCGGGUUUGACAUUCUAUUCUUAAUGUCUUACCAGAGAUGGUUAGAACUAUCGCACUUGUGUGAUAGGGAUAGAACAGGUGUUGCAUGGCCGUCGUCAGCUCGUGCCGUGGGGUGUUCCCUUAAGUGGGGUAACGAGCGCAACCCCUUUCGUAUGUUAAAUUUCCAUACGAGACUGGUCGCCUAGUGCGACAGGAAGUGGGGACGACGUCAGGUCAGCAUGACCCUUAUGUCCGGGGCUACACACAUGCUACAAUGGAGCCGACAAUGGGUUGCCAAGCCGUAAGGCGGAGCUAAUCCCAUCAAACGGCUUCUCAGUUGGGAUUGAGGGCUGCAACUUGCCCUCAUGAACUUGGAAUUGGUAGUAAUCGCGAAUCAGCCAAGUCGCGGUGAAUACGUUCUCAGGUCUUGUACACACCGCCCGUCAAGUCAGCAAAGUUGGGGGUACCCGAACCCCGUCUGCUUGCUAAUGAAACUUCUAGAUAUAAAUUAAGACAUUACUUUUUCGUUUGUUAAUUUGAUAUUUAGUUUACUAAUAAUUAUUUCGUUGGCAGCCAGACGGGGGAAGGUAAAUCCAGCGAUGAGGAUUAAGUCGUAACAAGGUAACC